rnacentral:rRNA from 1 species
UACGUAGGGGGCAAGCGUUGUCCGGAUUUAUUGGGCGUAAAGAGCGUGUAGGCGGCCAGGUAGGUCCGUUGUGAAAACUCGAGGCUCAACCUCGAGCUGUCGGCGGAAACCAUCUGGCUAGAGUCCGGAAGAGGAGAGUGGAAUUCCUGGUGUAGCGGUGAAAUGCGCAGAUAUCAGGAAGAACACCUAUGGCGAAGGCAGCUUUCUGGAACGGUACUGACGCUGAGGCGCGAAAGCGUGGGGAGCGAACAGG